AAACCAAAAUUUUUUUUUUUCAAAAAGUGAUUAAUGACAGAUGGUGCCACAGUAAGAGAAGAGGAAAUCCAGACAGGCUGUUUUCCAUUUGUCUUGGUGCCUGUGUCUACAACUCUGCCACACUC